GCUGUUUCAGUUUCUAUACCAGACCAAUCCCUGUAGCUGACAUUAGUCAGUACGAAGAAACAAGACGUGACUGUCCAAGAGCUGGAGUGAUUUUUACCACCAAGAAGGGUCCUGUGUGUGCGGACCCCGGCGUUAGGUGGGUGAAGCGAGCCAAGGACAAAAUCGAUCAUCGAUUUGGGGAAGGUUCAAACUCAACUCAGCCGAGUGUUUAAAUCUUCUCUCUAUUAAUGGGAAACUAACUCCUUUUAAUAUUCCAGCUCUUUAUUACUACAGCAGUGUACUCGUCUCUGAUUGGGUGAAGGAAUAAAGCUUUUCUGUUUUUUA